rnacentral:rRNA from 1 species
GACGAACGCUGGCGGCGUGCCUAAUACAUGCAAGUAGAACGCACAGUUUAUACCGUAGCUUGCUACACCAUAGACUGUGAGUUGCGAACGGGUGAGUAACGCGUAGGUAACCUGCCUGGUAGCGGGGGAUAACUAUUGGAAACGAUAGCUAAUACCGCAUAAUCUUGAUUAUUGCAUGAUAAUUAAUUGAAAGGUGCAAUUGCACCACUACCAGAUGGACCUGCGUUGUAUUAGCUAGUAGGUGAGGUAACGGAUCACCUAGGCGACGAUACAUAGCCGACCUGAGAGGGUGAUCGGCCACACUGGGACUGAGACACGGCCCAGACUCCUACGGGAGGCAGCAGGAGGGAAUCUUCGGCAAUGGACGAAAGUCUGACCGAGCAACGCCGCGUGAGUGAAGAAGGGUUUCGGAUCGGAAAGCUCUGUUGGAAGAGAAGAACGGGUGGGAGAGUGGAAAGUUCACACUGUGACGGUAUCUUACCAGAAAGGGACGGCUAACUACGUG